rnacentral:tRNA from 1 species
UGCGUUCGUAGCUCAGCUGGAUAGAGCGACGGACUUCGAAUCCGUAGGCCGCAGGUUCGAGUCCUGUCGGACGCAG